CACGGGGGGCCUACGGGAGGCAGCAGUAGGGAAUCUUCCGCAAUGGACGAAAGUCUGACGGAGCAACGCCGCGUGAGUGAUGAAGGCUUUCGGGUCGUAAAACUCUGUUGUUAGGGAAGAACAAGUACGAGAGUAACUGCCUCCGUACCUUGACGGACUAACCA
rnacentral:rRNA from 1 species